GGCGAGAUAGCUCAGUCGGUAGAGCGCAGGACUGAAAAUCCUGGCGUCGGCGGUUCAAUUCCGCCUCUCGCCACCA
rnacentral:tRNA from 3 species